GGGUGCCGCACUUGCGGAGAAUAGGGAAUCCGGUGAAAUCCCGGAGCUGUCCUCGCAACUGUGAAGGGUGUAUCUCACAACCGUUAGCCACUGCAAAAGCGGGAAGGCGUUGUGAACUUGCCCUGAGCCAGGAGACCUGCCCAUC
rnacentral:ncRNA from 1 species